rnacentral:tRNA from 1 species
GCCUGGGUGGCUCAGUUGUUAAGCGUCUGCCUUUAGCUCAGGUCAUGAUCCCAGAGUCCUGGGUUCGAGCCCCGGAUCAGGCU